rnacentral:rRNA from 1 species
GACGAACGCUGGCGGCGUGCUUAACACAUGCAAGUCGAACGGAAAGGCCCUGCUUUUGUGGGGUGCUCGAGUGGCGAACGGGUGAGUAACACGUGAGUAACCUGCCCUUGACUUUGGAAUAACUUCAGGAAACUGGGGCUAAUACCGGAUAGGAGCUCCUGCUGCAUGGUGGGGGUUGGAAAGUUUCGGCGGUUGGGGAUGGACUCGCGGCUUAUCAGCUUGUUGGUGGGGUAGUGGCUUACCAAGGCUUUGACGGGUAGCCGGCCUGAGAGGGUGACCGGCCACAUGGGGACUGAGAUACGGCCCAGACUCCAACGGGAGGCAGCAGUGGGGAAUAUUGCGCAAUGGGCGGAAGCCUGAUGAAGCAACGCCGCGUGCGGGAUGACGGCCUUCGGGUUGUAAACCGCUUUCGCCUGUGACGAAGCGUGAGUGACGGUAAUGGGUAAAGAAGCACCGGCUAACUACGU